AUUGAACGCUGGCGGCAUGCCUUACACAUGCAAGUCGAACGGUAACGGGUCCUUCGGGAUGCCGACGAGUGGCGAACGGGUGAGUAAUAUAUCGGAACGUGCCCAGGAGUGGGGGAUAACUGCUCGAAAGAGCAGCUAAUACCGCAUACGACCUGAGGGUGAAAGGGGGGGAUCGCAAGACCUCUCGCUAUUGGAGCGGCCGAUAUCAGAUUAGCUAGUUGGUGGGGUAAAGGCCUACCAAGGCAACGAUCUGUAGUUGGUCUGAGAGGACGACCAGCCACACUGGGACUGAGACACGGCCCAGACUCCUACGGGAGGCAGCAGUGGGGAAUUUUGGACAAUGGGCGCAAGCCUGAUCCAGCAAUGCCGCGUGCAGGAAGAAGGCCUUCGGGUUGUAAACUGCUUUUGUCAGGGAAGAAAUCUUCUGAGCUAAUACCCGGUUGGGAUGACGGUACCCAAAGAAUAAGCACCGGCUAACUUCGUGCCAGCCGCCGCCGUAA
rnacentral:rRNA from 1 species